rnacentral:rRNA from 1 species
CCUACGUGAGGCAGCAGUGGGGAAUAUUGCACAAUGGGGGAAACCCUGAUGCAGCGACGCCGCGUGAGUGAAGAAGUAAUUCGGUAUGUAAAGCUCUAUCAGCAGGGAAGCAAAUGACGGUACCUGAGUAAGAAGCGACGGCUAACUACGUGCCAGCAGCCGCGGUAAUACGUAGGGGGCACGCGUUAUGCGGAUUUACUGGGUGUAAAGGGCGCGUAGACGGCAGUUCUAGUCUGGAGUGAAAGGCGGGGGCUCAACCCCGGGACGGCUCUGGAAACUCUACGACUGGAGUGCAAGAGAGGUAAGUGGAAUUCCUGGUGUAGCGGUGAAAUGCGUAGAUAUCAGGAGGAACUCCAGUGGCGAAGGCGGCUUACUGGACUGUAACUGACGUUGAGGCUCGAAAGCGUGGGGAGCAAACAGGAUUAGAUACCCGAGUAGUC